GUGGGGAAUAUUAGGCAAUGGGCGAAAGCCUGACCUAGCAACGCCGCGUGAAGGAAGAAGGCCUUCGGGUUGUAAACUUCUUUUAUGAGGGACGAAGGACGUGACGGUACCUCAUGAAUAAGCCACGGCUAACUACGUGCCAGCAGCCGCGGUAAUACGUAGGUGGCGAGCGUUGUCCGGAUUUACUGGGUGUAAAGGGCGCGUAGGCGGACUGGCAAGUCAGAUGUGAAAUACAGGUGCUCAACCCCUGAACUGCAUUUGAAACUGUUGGUCUUGAGUAUCGGAGAGGCAAGCUGAAUUCCUAGUGUAGCGGUGAAAUGCGUAGAUAUUAGGGGGAACACCAGUGGCGAAGGCGGCUUGCUGGACGACAACUGAUGCUGAGGCGCGAAAGCGUGGGGAGCAAACAGGAUUAGAUACCCCUGUAGUCC
rnacentral:rRNA from 1 species